rnacentral:rRNA from 1 species
CAGCAGCCGCGGGAAUACGUAGGGUGCAAGCGUUAAUCGGAAUUACUGGGCGUAAAGCGUGCGCAGGCGGUUAUAUAAGACAGAUGUGAAAUCCCCGGGCUCAACCUGGGAACUGCAUUUGUGACUGUAUAGCUAGAGUACGGCAGAGGGGGAUGGAAUUCCGCGUGUAGCAGUGAAAUGCGUAGAUAUGCGGAGGAACACCGAUGGCGAAGGCAAUCCCCUGGGCCUGUACUGACGCUCAUGCACGAAAGCGUAGGGAGCAAACAGGAUUAGAUACCCCUGUAGUCCCUGUCUCUUAUAC